rnacentral:misc_RNA from 1 species
UGACCAAUCAAGCCUGGCUUGGUAUUAGGGCACGCGAUUCCGCGGCUCUCAAAAUCAAUGGCGGCGCCGGUGGGCUCUAAGCGUAGUAAUACUUCUCGCUAUUGAGUUCCCUCGGUGGCUUGCUAAACCCCCAACUUCUCAC